CACCCCUCGAGCGCGGCUCGGCGUUGGGCCCGACCAGGCGGUCGGCCCUAAAGGCAGUGGCGGCGCCGCUAGUCUAGGCCCCGAGCGUAGUACGCAAGACCCUAGCUACGGGGCCCGGCGGCGGCCGGCCAGUAUAAGCGACGCAAU
rnacentral:misc_RNA from 1 species